UACCCAGUGCAGGAGGAGUAAAGGAAACUUAAGUUGGUGAUAUCUUUUCAACACAGGCAUGAAGAAGAGCCCAUCCUGGAUUUUCCUGCCGUGGAACUUCAGAGAAAGGCUGAUUUUUUCCAUGGCUUGUUUUUAUCUACCUCAGCAUUUCCUCUUCUUCAGUUUCCUUCUUCUGAAAGGAGUGCUGGUAAUGGCAAAGGCUGCAGAGCUCCUAAAACAAGACCCCAGGAUUUCCCAUUUCUAACCCUCAGCUGAUCUGCCUGCAAGGAAGAGGGGAAAUGCCAUGGGUUCCAGAUUUAAGGGAAAUUCAGGAUGAAGAAGACCAAAGCACUUGACCGACUGUACAUUGUGAGACCCUUCGGUUCAACAUCAUGAGCCUCAGCUACUUCCUGACUGCUAUCCAUUCCAUCUAUUGAGGUUUCUUUUUCUGCAGAGAAAAAAAAAAAAAAAGGAGGCUGGGUGACUUAAUGGGAGGAGAGAGAGAUGAACAAAGGUUAUGUGGAGAAGAGCAACUGAUGUGUCAAAUGCUAUCGCCCAGGCUUGUUAUGUCAAGGAAAGGCAGAGGAAGGUGGCAAGUGCUGUGUCAAGAAAUGGUUUAAAGCUUCAGGGAAUAUGGUAUCUCAACUGGGUCUCAGCAAUGAGUCGGAUUUCCGCAGAUGAAGGUGGGAGAGGAAGAGCAUGACACGUGACAGCAACUGCAAAGGCUGUGGCCCUGUGACCAAACGGUCUUUUUGUGUUCGGGCUUCCUUCCUUGUGAGGUGGGACAUGCCAGCACACUCUGGGAUGGAAGAACUGCCAAAAUGACUUCCAAAGUGGCUGUGCCAUUUGGCAUGUCUUCCCGCAAUGAAUGAGGGUUCCUGCUGCUCCACACCCCUAUCAGCAUUUUGUA